GGGGAUUUAGCUCAGUGGCUUAAGUGUCUGCCUGGAAAGCACAAGGUAGUGAGUUCAAUCCCCA
rnacentral:tRNA from 1 species